UUGGAAAGCUGGAGAAUGGGUGAAGGGGAUUUUAGCUAUAACCCUGUCUAACCUAAUUAGUUGGGCAAUACACAUCCUGGGUACAAAUACCAUCUCCUUCCCACAGGUCACUGCUCUCUCUGUCCUCAAGCCACAGACCUCACAAAUUAGUCGAAUCAUCACUGCCAGUCUCUAAACAAUGAGCCCCAAACAGAUCGUCUUCAAGAAAAUAUCCAAGGACAAGUCGGUUGGUGUGUAUAUGGGGAAGAGAGACUUUGUUGACCAUGUUGACUCAGUGGAACCAGUGGAUGGUGUCCUUCUUGUUGACCCUGAACAGCUGAAGGGGAAAAAAGCGUAUGCCACCUUGUCCUGCACGUUCCGAUACGGACGUGAUGACAUGGACGUGGUGGGCAUCUCAUUCAGACGUGAGAUCUAUCUGGCCACCCGGCAAAUCUACCCCCCACUGCAGGACAAAGAGCAGUGCAUUCUCACCAAGGUCCAGGAUAAACUACUGCGCAAACUGGGUGACAAUGCCUACCCGUUUUUCUUUGAAUUCCCUGAUAACUUGCCCUGUUCGGUAGGAAUACAGCCAGGCCCAAAAGAUGUCGGAAAGCACUGUGUUGUUGAGUUUGAGGUGAAAGCCUUCUGUGCUGAGAGCCAGGAUGCAAAAGUUCGCAAACGGAGCUCAGUACGUUUGAUGAUUCGCAAGGUCCAGUAUGCUCCAGAGAAGCUAGGACCAGCUCCCUGUGUGGAGACCACCCGUGACUUUCUCAUGUCUGACAAACCACUGCAUAUGGAGGCAAGAUUAGAGAAACAGACUUACUAUCAUGGGGAACCCAUCAACGUAAGCGUCAAAAUCAGUAAUGACUCCAACAAAAAUGUGAGAAACAUCAUUAUUUCUGUGGAACAAAUUGCCAAUGUGGUGUUGUACUCCAAUGACAGUUAUAAUGAGACAGUGGCCAUAGAGGACUCUGGGGACUCUGUUGAAUCAGGAGCCAAACUGGACAAAGUCUACACCUUGCUUCCCCUACUGGCCAAUAACAGACAAAAGCGAGGCAUAGCACUGGAUGGAAAAUUGAAGCAUGAAGACACCAAUCUAGCCUCUUCAAGCAUCAUCAAAGAGGGCGUCCUGAAGGAAGUUCUGGGGAUCUUGGUGUCUUACAGAAUUGUUGUGAAGCUUAUUGUUGGAGGGAUUAUGGGAACCAGUGAGGUUGGGGUGGAGCUCCCUUUCCAGCUUAUGCACCCGAAGCCUGACACAGGUAUUAUUUACGAACAUGCGUGAGUGUCCUUAUGUAUGUUCUUUUAUCUGUCUCUUAAAUAUUUUCUGCUUCACAUACAAUUAUGUAUAAGCAAAUCUAAAAAUGUUGUUUCUCUUUAUUGCCUCUUGAAGUGAGAGAAAGCGAACUGGAGGAUGAAGUGGUAUUUGAGGAGUUUAAGCGUACCAACUUGAAAGGCAUGGCCGAGGAUGAGGAUGAGGGAAACGUAUCACCUGCCGAGCACUGAGGAAUGCAUGUAGAAGUCAAUCAGUUUUUGAAGCAAUCCUCAUUACAGUAGGACAUAUUUAAAGCUAUUUAAAAUAGACAACCACAUAGAGAGCAUUACUGCAACAGAGCACUGCUCUGGAGUUUUAUGAGCAGAUAAAACUACUGUCCAUUUUAACAAAUUCCAAAUCUAGUUCUUUAGAGACCAUCCGUACCUCGCUGUGACCAUUCUUCAGCUCCCUAAGGAUCCAUAAGGAUCUCUGGAUGUGGAUCAUGUAAUUGAAAAUGAAUAGAGAGCUUUGUUUCCCCCAUUUUAUGGUAGUGGGAUCACUGCUGUUUUGCAACUGCUUUAUCAUUUUAGUGUAUAUUUUUAGUCAUUUGGAAGAAAUUGCUGUGCUGGAAUUUGGUGACUACACAAUAAAAGUAUAUAAAUGUAAAACUAGUAAAGUCCUAGAUGUGUUUUUAGUUGUAACACACUUUGUGAUAUAAAACAACAUGCUGUUGUAAGUAAACGUAUUGUUAUAAAAUAUAGUAUUAUAAUAAAAUGUUGUACUGUAGCUGAAUGUUCUAUUGUACAAACACCACAAAGGUUUGGACAUAAAAAAGUUCUCUUUUUUUUAUUAUAAAAUAACAGUGUUCAUACAAAUUCAAUUUCUGUAACUGGUUCUUUUUUCCAAGUACAUCCAUAUGAAUUUCAACAUUACACACUACAGGCAAGGUGCAAGGACAAAUGUAUUUUAUCCAUAGUUAUUGAAAACAGAUAUUCAAUGAAGGUCAAUGCA